rnacentral:ncRNA from 1 species
CGUUGUGAAGUGGAAUCUGAAAGAAGCUAUAGGUAAACCUCUGACCUGACGAACAGGAACCAUAUAUGAGGCUCGGAAAUAGGGAUAAGGUGGCAAAAGACGCUGAAAUCCAAAAGUUGCCGGAAGUACGAGUAAAUGCGACAGAUAUAUAGAAGAAAAGA